rnacentral:misc_RNA from 1 species
CUCCCUCAUUGUAAAAGCAAUACAAUGGGUGGUGCUACUCAUUUGUGCUUGUGUUUCCUCGUUUCUCUGCUGGUCAUAGCCAGCGCUGCCACUCCAAGAAAGCCAAUUAACGUUCCUUUCCAGAAGAACUAUGCACCCACUUGGGCUUUCGACCACAUCAAGUACUUGAAUGGUGGCAAUGAGGUUCAACUCUCCCUCGACAAGUACACAGGAACUGGCUUCCAUUCGAAGGGCUCUUACCUGUUUGGGCACUUCAGCAUGGAUAUAAAGAUGGUUGCAGGAGAUUCUGCUGGAACUGUCACUGCCUUCUAUCUCUCAUCCCAGAACUCUGAGCACGAUGAGAUCGACUUUGAGUUCCUUGGCAACAGGACGGGCCAGCCAUACAUAUUGCAGACCAAUGUGUUCACCGGCGGGAAGGGAAACAGAGAACAGAGGAUCUACCUCUGGUUCGAUCCCACCAAAGAUUUCCAUUCCUACUCUGUCCUCUGGAACAUGUACCUGAUUGUAUUCUUUGUAGACGAUGUGCCCAUCAGGAUCUUCAAGAACAGCAAGGACCUGGGAGUGAGGUUCCCAUUCAACCAGCCCAUGAAGAUCUACUCCAGCCUCUGGAAUGCCGACGACUGGGCCACCCGUGGUGGUCUCGAGAAGACAGACUGGUCCAAGGCUCCUUUUGUGGCUUCAUACCGAGUGUUCCAUGUUGACGGAUGCGAGGCAUCGGAGGAGGCCAAGUUCUGCGCCACUCAGGGGAUGCGGUGGUGGGACCAAAAGGAGUUCCAGGAUCUUGACGGGAUCCAGUACCGGAAGCUUAGCUGGGUUCGCCAAAAAUAUACCAUCUACAACUAUUGCACCGACCGAGCUAGGAUACCCGUCAUGCCAGCGGAGUGCAAGAGGGACAGAGAUGUUUGAGAUAUGCCUCGACCUACCUUUAUGUGAAUGGAGCUACGAGUGAGUAUUUGUCGCAAUAUUGCUCUGUAAUUGCCGUUACUUGUUAUUUGCUUGCUGGCUCAUUAAUCUGAGAUGGUAACGUACUAUAUUUGUAUCUCUAA